UACCCAGCAACUCCUAUCCCUACCUCCUCGUGGUACUGGCCGGGGUACGAGUAACCUUGGGGAAGAUCGGGUAACCAACCCCCGGUGGGAACUUUGGUAGUAGGGAAGG
rnacentral:ribozyme from 1 species